rnacentral:rRNA from 1 species
CCUACGGGUGACUGCAGUGAGGAAUAUUGGUCAAUGGACGAGAGUCUGAACCAGCCAAGUAGCGUGAAGGAUGACUGCCCUAUGGGUUGUAAACUUCUUUUAUAUGGGAAUAAAAUGUUCCACGUGUGGGAUUUUGUAUGUACCUUAUGAAUAAGGAUCGGCUAACUCCGUGCCAGCAGCCGCGGUAAUACGGAGGAUCCGAGCGUUAUCCGGAUUUAUUGGGUUUAAAGGGUGCGUAGGCGGCCUUUUAAGUCAGCGGUGAAAGUCUGUGGCUCAACCAUAGAAUGGCCGUUGAAACUGGGAGGCUUGAGUACAGUUGAGGUAGGCGGAAUUCGUGGUGUAGCGGUGAAAUGCUUAGAUAUCACGAAGAACCCCGAUUGCGAAGGCAGCUUACUAAACUGUGACUGACAUUGAUGCUCGAAAGUGUGGGUAUCAAACAGGAUUAGAUACCCUGGUAGUC